ensembl:lncRNA
AUGGUUUUCAGUUCCAUCGGGUCAUUUAAGGUCUUUUCUACACUGUUUAUUCUAGUUAGCCAUUCUUUCAUCUCUAUCAGUUCGUUUAUGGACUUCUCUGCAUUGGUUAUUCUAGUUAUUCAUUCUUUCAUUCUUUUUUCAACGUUUUUAACUUCUUUUUGCUGGGUACGUAGUUCCUCUUUUGUCUCUGAGAAGUUUGAUCAACUGAAGCCUUCUUCUCUCAGCUCAUCAAAGUCAUUCUCCAUCCAGCUUUGUUCCAUUGCUGGCAAUGAGCUGUGUUCCUUUGGAGGGGGAGAUGUGCUCUGAUUUUUUGAAUUUCCAGCUUUUCUGCACUGCUUUUUCCCCAUCUUUGUGGUUUUAUCUGUCUUUGGUCUUUGAUGAUGGUGAUGUACUGAUGGGGUUUCCAUGUGGGUGUCCUUUCUGAUUGUUAGUUUUCCUUCUAACAGUCAGGACCCUCAGCUGUAAGUCUGUUGGAGUUUGCUUGAGGUCCACUCCAGAGAGGUUGCAGAAGAUAGAAUAUUGCUGAACAGGAAGUGUUGCUGUCUGAUUCUUGCUCUGGAAGCUUCAUCUCAGAAGUGUACCCAGCCGUGUGAGGUGUGAGGUGUCAGUCUGCACCUAGUGGGGGAUGUCUCCCCGUUAGGCUACUCAGGGUUCAGGGACCCACUUGAGCAGACAGUCUGUCCAUUCUCAGAUCUCAACCUCCAUGCUGGGAGAAUCACUGCUCUCUUCAAAGCUGUCUGACAGGGACAUUUGCUUCUGCAGGUGUUUCUGCUGCUUUUUGUUUAGCUAUGCCCUAUCCCCAGAGGUGGAGUCUAUAGAGGCAGGCAGGCCUCCUUGAUCUGCAGUGGGCUCCACCCAGUUCGAGCUUCCUGUUGGCUUUGUUUACCUACUUAAGCCUCUGCAAUGGUGGGCACCCCUCUCCCAGCUUCACUGCCGCCUUCCAGUUAGAUCUCAGACUACUGUGCUAGCAAUGAGGGAGGCUUUGUGGGUGUGGGACCCUCUGGGCCAGGUGUGGGAUAUAAUCUCCUGAUGUGCCAUUUGCUAAGACCCUUGGUAAAGUGCAGUAUUAGGGUAGGAGUUAUCCAAUUUUCCAGGUGUUGUAUGUCUCAGUUUCCCUUGGCUAGGAAAAGGAAUUCCCUUCUCCCUUGUGCUUCCCAGGUGAGGUGAUGCCUUGCCCUGCUUCAGCUGUCACUGAUUUGGCUGCACCCACUGACCAGCACCGACUGUCUGACAUGUCCCAGUGAGAUGAACCAGUACCUCAGUUGAUAAUGCAGAAAUCACCCAUCUUCUUUGUCAUUCAUGCUGGGAACUGGAGGCUGGAGCUGUUCCUAUUCAGCCAUCUUGGGUACCCCCCUGGACUUCUUUUUCCCUGAACUAUUACUUUUAAAUUUCACUGAAAUUGUAGCAUUAUCUAGAGACAUCCUUAACCUAGGCUCUUUUCUAGAGAGUGCACUAUCUUGGAUGCACCAAACAAAAAGAUCUACAAUUUCCAUGACCUUGUAUGGAGAUUUAAUUGAAAAAGAAGACUGGGGAGGAUAUGAACAUGACAACUCUAUCUUAGAAAACCAUGGAUAGGGGAUUCUAUAGCCAGAGGCCUAUUCUUGUUUGCUAGUAUUCCUCUCCUUGAAAGAUUAGUACUUAAUAUUUCUAUUAUGACGCAAUGAGGGUAGAAGGCAACAAUAGGAGCCAUAGAAGCAGAACAAUUCAUAGGCUCUUUAGCCUCAAUAGUAGUACAAAAUAGACAGACCCUAGAUGUCCUUACGACUGAAGUAGGGGUACCUGUGCACUUUUAAAUAAAACAUGCUGCUUCUGGAUCAACGCCUCUAGUCAAGUUGAAGUGAACCUAAAGGUGCUUAAAGAUCAAGUUAGAAUCAUUAACAGGUUAAGAGAAAAUGUGGGCUCCAGUCCCAGGUGGCCAGCAUCCCUUCUUAAUAAAUUCCAGUCUUCUUUAUGAAGAUGGUUAGCUCCUUUAUUAGGCUCCUGUUUGCUCAUGUGUUUUGUGCUAAUAUUUGGAACUUGUAUACUCAAUACUAUAACUCAAAUUGUUUUCUCUCACCUAGAAGCUAUUAAACUCUAAGUGGUGUUGCACAUGGAAUCACAUAUAGACCUGUCUUUUUUCCAAGGACCCUUAGAUUGACCCUCAGGAGGAGCCCUAGGUGCUGUUCCUGACACAACAUCCCUCUCCAGCAAGAAGCAGUCAGAAGAGUUGUUGUGCAACACUCACCCCCGGCCAACAACAAUUAGUAUUUCCACUCUAGGGGGUGGGAAUGAUAUAGAAGAUAGAAAGAAAUUAUUUAGUCAGAUAGUGAGGGCAAAUAGUCCUUGGCAGAGCUUCCCUUCUCUCAAAAAGUAAACCAAGAAAUAGGCUUUUUUUCUAACAAAGAGCAGCCUGAAAGUGUGAGCUGCAAACAUAGUUAAGAAAGCUGAAAGUUUACAUGGGAGAAUGCCAGCAGCUGCACCAAUAGAAAAUGGCUACUUGAAGACCAGACAUGUUCACCAUGGAAGCUCCAUCUUUCUAUUUUUGUUAGCAUGUGUACAGUUUGAAAGAAGUAGGCAACAUGGAGAGAACUGACCUGCAUAAUAAUAUAUUUGGUUGAGGGCUUCCAGAGAUUUGCACCCUAUGCAGAUGGCACACCUGGUCCUAACCAGUUUGUUGUACCCUAUGUAGAUCAGACACUGCCUCCCCACUAGCUCAUCUAUAAAAAUGCCUGAAUUCACAACACAUUGGCAACAGAUUUUUCUGGGAUCUCCCUCUGUAGCAGAGAGCUACUAUCUUUUCUAUUUUUUUUCUAUAAAAUUUCUGCUCUUAUUCUCACUCUUUGUAUGUCUACAUUCUUGAUUUUCAUUGCCAUGAGAUAAUGAACUUCAGGUGUCAUUCCAGACAAUGAGGCUGCUUCAUCAGUACCAUCCAGGAAACAUAAGCUCACCAGAUGCAUUAAAUAACGCACCAGGCAUCAAUCCUGGACACAGCGCUAUAUGACCUUUCAGACAUAGAAUUCAAAACAGCAGUAUUGAGGAAACUAAAAGAAAUUCAAGAUAACACAGAAAAGAAAUUCAGAAUUCUAUCAGAUUAACAAAAAGAUUUUACAAAUUAAAAACAAUCAAGUAGAGAUUCUAAAAUUGAAAAAUUCAAUUGGCAUACUGAAAAAUGUAUCAGUCUUUUAGUAGAAAAAUAUUUCAAGCAGAGGAAAUAAUUAGUGAGCUUGAAGACAGACUAUUUAAAAAUACACAGUCAGAGAAGCAAAAGAAUUUAAAAAAUGAAGCAUGCCAUGAUCUAGAAAAUAGCUUCAAAAUGGCAAAUCUGUUAUUAACAUUCAAGAAAUCAUAGAAAAAAGAUAGGAAUAGAAAGCUUAUUCAAAGGGAUAAUAACAGAGAAGUUCCAAAAUCUAGAGAAAGAUAUCAAUAUCCAAGUACAACAGGGUUAUAUAACACCAAGCACCUUUAACCACCCCCCCCCCAAAAAUACUAUCUCUGAAAAUUUAAUAAUCAAACACCCAAAGGUUAAGGAUUAAAAAAAGAUCCUAGAAGCAGCAAGAGAAGAGAAACAAAUAAGACACAAUGAAGCUCCAGUAUGUCUGGUAGCCGACUUUUCACUGGAAACAUCACAGACAAGAAGAGAUGGACAUUACAUAUUUAAAGUGCUGAAGGGAAAAAACUUUUACCCUAGAAUAGUACAUCCAGCAAAAUUAUUCUUCAAACAAAGAGCAGAAAUAAAGACACCCUUCGACAAACAAACACCAAGGGAUUUCAUCAACACCAGACCUGUCCUACAAAAAAUGUUAAAGGAAGUAGUUCAAUCAGAAAGAAAACUAUGCAAAAAUUAAUAAGAAAUCACCUAACCACACAAAACUCACUGACUAUAGUAAGUACACAGAAAAACCCAGAAUAUUAUAACAGUGUUAAACUGUGGUGUGUAAACAACUGUUAUUCUGCAUAGAAAAUAAUGAACUAGUAAAAAUAAUAACUAAAACAACAUUUCAAGAUACCAACAGGGCAAAAAUAUAUAAGUAGAAAUGAGUAAUAGUUAAGAAGCAAGGGGACAAAAUUAAAGCAUAGCAUAAUGAGUAGGUUUCUUUUUGCUUUUUGUUGUUUGGUGUAUGUAAAAUGUGUUAGGUUGCUUUCAGCUUAAAACACUGGGUUAUAACUACCAUCAGAGAAUACUAUAAACACCUCCAUGCAAAUAAACUAGAAAAUUUAGAUAAUUUCCUGGACACUUACACUCUUCCAAGACUAAACCAGGAAGAAGUUGAAUCCCUGAAUAGACCAAUAGCAGGCUCUGAAAUUGAGGCAAUAAUUAAUAGCCUACCAACCAAAAAAAGUCCACAACCAGAAGGAUGCACAGCCAAAUUCUACCAAGGUACAAACAGGAGCUGGUAGCAUUCCUUCUGAAACUAUUCCAAUCAAUAGAAAAAGAGGGAAUCCUCCCUAACUCAUUUGAUGAGGCCAACAUCAUCGUGAUACCAAAGCCUGGCAGAGAUACAACAAAAAUUUACUAGACCAAUAUCCUGAUGAACAUCGAUGCAAAAAUCGCAAUAAGGAAAUACUGGCAAGCCAGUUCAGCAGCACAUCAAAAGCUAAUCCACCACCA